ensembl:lncRNA
CUGAGAGCUAGAGAUAUCUCAAUGGGCUACAGGAUAAUUUUCUUAGGAUGAAUAAUUUCCACACAUAAAAUGUCAUGAAUUGAGUAUGAUUUUCACUAAUCUGUAUUUUUAACAUUGAGGUACUUUCUGCUUCCUUGUCUUUAAAUGUUGGUCAGCUAGGAGCAUAAGUUAAAUAGUGUGACUAAAGAUGUAUUAAAACCUCCAUCAAAGCAGUAUUUAGUUGAGUGGCAUACCAGCUAGGAAAUGAUGAGACCCUAUCUGGACCAGCAGUACACACAUUUAGCCGCUAACAACACAGAUAUGUAGGCUCACCAAGCUAUUUCUACUGGUUCCAUUCACAUGGAUUCUAGAACAGUUUAUAUUCUAAAACUCAAAAGGUGAGAAGAUGGCCUCAGGGUUCUUAGCACUGUCUCGGACUACAUAUGCUACGGGCUGAGUUCCUACGUCUUCAGAAAUGGUGCAUUCUAGUUGCUGAGCAGCUGGGAGGGAAGUGCAUCCCUUGCCAACUGACUAUAUCAUCAUAGACCACACCUCACAGUGGGCUCCUUCCGGGACAGUGAUGACACACAGAAAGCACUGACUGCUUUGUAUUUCCUUAGAAAUCAACCCAGGGCAUCCUCAAGGAUCAAUAGUAGGUAGCUGAAAAUCUGAACGAAAGGCAGAAAUUCUGUGCGGCCUAGAGAAUGAGAAAUUAGAGGUCAGGGAGGAGAGGCAGAGAGGAAAGAAGAGUCAAGAGCACUGAUGCUCGUCAUGAAGCACAGAAGGGCAACUGCUAAAGCCAAGAGCACUGAGGAGAAAGAGAACCGGACCACAGAGCCAGCACAAGUGACCACAGAGGCUUCCAGAAUAUGCAGCGAAAAGACCACCACAGCAGAACUGAGAGCUGUCACCUCACAGCAACCCAUGGUGACAGACACAGAGUGGUUUGGUCUGAGUGCAGAGGAACAAUUGGCCUGGGCUAAGAGUACUAAAGAUCCUCGGAUUGCAGUAGGCUCCUGUUCCCCACUAGAAAAGAAAAUUAAGGUGAGGAAAUAUAUUUGGCAUGCACUUUGGGUCCUGUAAUGAGAUCAUAUAAAGUUUAUUGGCGGUAUAGGAGUCCCAAGCAUUUCAAGGGAGAAAGUCGAUCCUCGCUUGGGCUUUACUUCCUAUUUGGUUCUCUGAGCAGCGCUGGCUGGACAGCAUCAAACAGAACAGAUACUGUUUGUACUCUCACAGGACUUGUUCUAGUAAGAGAUGAUGCUAAAGAAACGGACUCCACAAACUGUGAUGUCACAACAGCUCUGGGUUUUCUAUGAAGACCGUGGAAGGUUGGAGGACACAGUAUGCCCGCCCAGAUUGUCAAAGUUGUAAAAGUGCUUAUCAUAGUUCCUGACGUGUGUUUUGGAAGAGUGUACUCACGUGGGAAAGAGAGACUCUUAGGGAACAGAAUUCAGUGUGGCCGGAGCCUAAUGAAUAUACAGUGAGCUGAAAACAUGGUUUGAGAGUUAAUGAGAGGCUGUGGACGCCACACUGAGAUUUGAGGUUCUCUCCUAAAUGGAGCAGCCAGGGUUUAUACAAGAAAGUAUCAUGCUCAGAUGUAGGUAAUAAAAAAAAAUCACUCUGGCUACA